rnacentral:tRNA from 1 species
UCCCUGGAGGACUAGUGGUUAGGCCUCGGCGCUCACCGCCGCGGCCUGGGUUCGAUUCCCGGCCAGGGAA